UACACAGUAUUUCACUGUCCUAAAAAUCUUGUGUGUUCUGCCUAUUCAUCUCUCCCCUCAUCCCCUCCCAACCCAGUAAUUGAUGAUCUUUUUAACUGUCACCAUAGCUUUCCAUUUUCCAGAAUGUCAUAUAGUUGGAAUCAAACACUAUGUAGCCUUUUCAUAUUGGCUUUUUUUUUUUUCGCUUAGUAAUAUGCAUAUAAAGUGAUCUGUAUCUUUUCAUGGCUUGAUAGUUCAUUUUUUUUAAUAUUAAUAUUCUAUGGUCUGGGUGUACCACAGUUUAUUUAUUCAUUCUCCUCCUGAAGGGCAUCAUAUUUGCUUCCAGAUUUUGGCAAUUAUAAAUAAACCUGCCAUAAACAUCCAUGUGCAGGCUUUUGUGUGAAGGUAAGUUUCAAAUGCUGGGUAAACACCAAGAAUAAUGAUUGCUGGAUUGUAUGGUAAGAGUAUGUUUAGUUUUGUGAGAAACUGCCCAGCUGUCUUUCAAAGUGGCUGCUAGCAUUUUACAUUCCCAGUAGCAAUGUAAACAUUCCCUGUUGCUCCAUAUUCUCACCUGCAUUAGAUCUUGUCAGUGUUACAGAUUUUGGCCAUUUCAAUAGGUGUGUCUACGGCCAUGCUAGCCUGAAUGUGCCCAAUCUUGUUGCUAGGUGUAUAGUGGCAUCUCAUUGUUGUGGGGUUUUUUUGGUUUUGUUUUUUGUCUUUUUUUGCGUUUUCUAGGGCCACUCCUGCGGCAUAUAGAGGUUACAAGGCUAGGGGUCUAAUCAGAGCUACAGCUGAGGCCUAUACCAUAGCCACAGCAGUUUGGGAUCCAAGCCACAUUUGCAACCUACACCACAGCUCACAGCAACACUGGAUCCUUGACCCACUGAGCAAGGCCAGCAACCUCAUGGUUCCUAGUCAGAUUCGUUAACCACUGAGCCAUGACAGGAACUCCCAAUCCUUCCAUCCUCACAUCUCAUUGUUGUUUUCAUUUGCAUUAUCGGCUAAAAAAAAAAAAUCCCCACACAGUGUAAGAGUUGUGAGUUUCAGCUUUGUUCAGGGGACUCUAGUCCUGGAAACAGCCUCUCAGUACCUCUAAGGAGACUUCUCUGUGGAGGUAGGGGAGAAGCCAGUACAUGCAUGAUUUGUGGCUAGGGCAUGUGCUCAGUCAAGCACAUAUCUCAGUAAUGCUGGUCACAAGAAACAGAUUUCUCAGGUAAUGAUUUUAGUGCUUUUUCUAUGUAUGGGAAGAUUCAAGAAUCUUGUGUUCAUUAAACUUCUUCCUGAGAUAUAUAUCUUGCUGUCCAAGGGGACUGUUUUGCCUAAGUGCAGAGUGCCUCAUCCUGGUUUUCAUCUUGAAUUCCUCUCAGGCUGAACUGUUGGUCAAAGACUACAAGGGCUAAUGAUGUAAACCUUGUGGAACCACCUGGUGAGCAGCAUCCUUUGUUUUACAGCAUUUUCCUGAUGGCAUAUGAUGUGGAGCAUCUUUUCAUAUGCUUUCUUGCCUUAUACAUAUCUCCUUUGAGGAGGUGUUUAUCAAGUACUUUGGCCCAUUUUUGAACCUGUUGUUUGCUUUCUUACUGUUGGGUUUGAGUUCUUUGUAUAUUUUAAAUAACAUCCUUUAGCAGAUGUGUCUUUUGCAAAUAUUUUCUCCCAGUCUGUGGCUUGUCUUCUUACUCUCUUAUCUUUCCCAGAAGUUUUUAAUUUUAAUGAAGUCUAUCUUAUCAAUUUUUUUUUAUGAGCUUUACCUUUGGUGUUGUAUCUAAAAACGUAUUGCCAUACUCAAGAUAAUCUAGGUUUCAUUAAAGUCUUUUCAUUCCCAUUUUCUGAAUUUCAAAUUGAGCCACUGGGUCAGAGUGUGAUUUAAUAAAGGUAUGUAUAAUACACGUGUAAUCUGAAAUUAAGAGAAAUCUAAAUAUAAAUAUUUGCAUUGUCUUAAUGGUUAUGAAUUUUGGAAAAAUAAGAAUUAACACUUUGAAUUUUUACCAAAAAAUAUUUUAUGCUAUAUAUACCUUUUUAAAAAGCUUCCAGCCAUAUUUAACCCCCUAAUAGGCUAUAAUUCAUAUGGAAUAAAUUUCAUGAAGUAAGUGUCAAAGUUUACUUUUCAUUAUGAUGUCCAAAAAGCAAGCACUGCUUAUUAAAGGAGUAUUCUUUUUGUACUGAAUUUCAGUGUCCUCUUGGUUGAAAAAUCAAGUGUUUAUUUAUGUGGAUCUAUUACCAGGCUUUCAUUGGACUCUUUUGUCUAUUCUUUACAUGGAUAUUGCACUGUGUAAAUAUUUAGGUGUAUAGUAAUUCCUCACAUUCAGUAAUAUUAUUCCUCUAGUUUUCCUCUUUUUUACCAAGAUGAUUAUCUUGGCUGAUAUAGGUAAUUUUUAGUGCUGUUUAAUUUUCAAAAUAAGGUGCAAAUUUAUACUCAAAAUCCUUGUUGGAUUUGAUUGGUGUUGCAUUAUAAUUAUAAAUAAAAUUGGGAAAAGUUGAUUCUUCACAAUAUUGAGUUUUCCAAUACACAGACAUGGUGUAUUACUUCAUUUAUUUAGGUCUUUAUUAAUGUUUCUCAAAAUUCUUUUAGUUUUCUAUAUAUGUCUUAAACAUCUUUCAUUAUAUUACCUUGACAUUUUUGAUGCUUUUGACACUAUAUGCUAAAGUAAACAAUGCCUAUAAAAUUUAUUUGCAAUGGUCUUUUACUAAUCUCUAGAAACACAAUUGAUUUUUGCAUAUUUCAAUAUUCUAUUCCAUAUCCUUAAUAAAAUCCCUUAUUAUUUCUAACAGAUUGUUUUCACAAUCAUUUUCAUUUUAAGUGUAUGAUUAUAUUAUUUGUAAUUAUUAAAAGUUUUAAAUCUUUUACUUUCUUAUCCUACGCUAAUUAAUUUUCUUGCCUCAUUCCAGUUGUCCUAUUGUACUGAUCUUUACUGCAUUACCACCAAUACUGUGUUUAGUGGAAUUGGAGCUGCUGGACAUUCUUGCCUUCUUUCUGGCACUAAAAGAAAAUGUUCUCAUCAUGGCUCAGCAGUAACAAACCUGACUUAUUCAAGAGAAUGUGGGUUUGAUCCCCGCCCUCACUCAGCGGGUUAAGGAUCUGGUGAUGCCGUGAGCCGUGGUGUAGGUCACAGACCCAGCUUGGAUCCCGUGUGGCUGUGGCUGUGGUGUAGGCCAGCAACUACAGCUCUGAUUCGACCCCUGGCCUGGGAACUUCCGUAUGCCUCAGGUGUGGCCCUAAAAAAAAGAAAGAAAAUAUUCAAUAUUUUAUUGACAGCCUUUGUUUUUCUUUGUCUAUUUUUAGUAGGCUAAGGAAUUUCUCUUUUAUUCCUGGUUGAUAGAGAAUAAUUUUUUAAUUAUUUAGUAGAUAUUGGAAUGUGAUUUGGAAAAAUCAAGUGAUUUUUCUGCAUUUAUUCAGAUAUUGUUAUAUUUUUAUUUUAUUAAUGUGACGCAUUGAAAUAAUGGAUUUGUAGAUACAACUACAAUUUUGAGCACCUAGACUAAACUCUAUUUGUCAAAAUGAAAUACCAUUUUUAUAAAACACUGGAUUGUAAUACCUUAAAUUAUGGUUAGUUUUUGUGUGUGUGUGUUCUUGUCCAUAGGACAUAUUGAUGUAUAUACAUUUCCCUUGUGCACUAUUUUGUUAAGUUUUAAAUACUAUGUUUUGCUAGCUCAUAAUAUGAACAGAAAAGUGGCUUCACUUUUUCUAUUCUCUGAAAAAGUAUCUAUUACAGUAUGUGAUUUCUCACCUAGAUAUUUGAAAAAUUUUAUUGGUAAAAUCAUCUGCUUCUGGAACCUUCUCAGUGGGAAGGUUUUAACAUAUAAUAUAUAUUAGAUAUAUGUGCAUGUACAAUUUAUUAGUAAGUAUAGAAGUAUUUACAUUUUCUUCUCUCAUAUCAAUUUUGAUAAGUUGUUUUUCAUAUUGUCAAAUUUAUUGGCAUAGAUAUAUUAAUAAUUAAUAAUAUACUCUUGCUACCUUUUUAGGUUAUAUAGAAUAUGAAAUAAUGUCAAUAUUUUCAUUCCUGUUAUUAUUUAUUUGUCUUUAAUUUAUUUCUAAUUAGUUUAGCUAGGUAUUUGUAUCAAUUUAAUUAAUGUUUAAGAGUAUUAGUCUCUAAGACUUGGUUAAUUUUCCACUAUUUAAUAUCUGUUUUCUAUUCUUGAUUACAUUCUUCUUUUACUCUCUUUGGAUUUAAUUGGAUUUUGGGGGAUUAGUUUCUUGGAAUUAAAACUUAGAUUAUAGAUUUUCAAGCUUUCUUGUUUUAUAGUAUGUACAAUGUUUUCUGAACACUUAAAAGCUGAAUCUGACACAUUUUUUAUGACAUAACAUUAUGUAAUGAAGUAGAAAAUAUUUCCAAAUUUUCACUUUGUUUUUUUUUUUACCCAUGGGAUAUUUAGAAGUAAGUUCUUUGAUGUCCAGAUAUUCAGCAUUUGUCUAGUGAUCGUGCCAUUAUUGAGUUCCAUUGUAUUGAACAGUUAUAGUGCAUACUCUGUAUGGUUUCAAACUUAGAUAAUUAUUGAAAUAUAUUUUGGACCAACAUAUGGUCUUGGUAAAUAUCUCAUAUUCACUUAAGAAAGUUAUCGAGAAGGUACACAGGUCUUCAGUUCUUUUAACUUAUUCCUUCAACUUUCUUCCAUAAUUUUCUCUAAAAGCUGUUAAAAUACCCAAAUAUAAUUGUAGAAUAUUAUAUUUUCACUUUUAACUCUGUUAGCUUGACAUCAUAUAAUUUAGAAUUAUAAAACCAAUGAAUGUAAGGUCUCUGUAUCUCUCUGUUUAAUUGACCCUUUAGCUAUUAAGCAGUGUUUUUGUUUAUCUCUAUUAAUAUUUCUCAUCUUAAAAUAGUCUUUGCCUUUGGAGUUCCCAUCAUGUCUCAGUGGUUAAUGAAUCCAACUAGAAACCAUGAGGUUGAGGGUUUGAUCCCUGGCCUCGCUCAGUGGGUAAGGAUCUGGUGUUGCUGUGAGCUGUGGUGUAGGUCUCAGAUGCAGCUCGGAUCCCACGUUGCUGUGGCUGUGGUGUAGACCGGCGGCUAAGCUCCGACUGGACUUCCAUAUGCCAUGGGUGCGGCCCUAGAAAAGACAAAAAAAAAAAAAAAAAAA
ensembl:lncRNA